CCUACGGGAGGCAGCAGUGGGGAAUAUUGGACAAUGGGGGCAACCCUGAUCCAGCCAUGCCGCGUGUGUGAAGAAGGCCCUCGGGUUGUAAAGCACUUUCAGUGAGGAAGAACGCCUGGUGGUUAAUACCCAUCAGGAAAGACAUCACUCACAGAAGAAGCACCGGCUAACUCCGUGCCAGCAGCCGCGGUAAUACGGAGGGUGCGAGCGUUAAUCGGAAUCACUGGGCGUAAAGCGCGCGUAGGUGGCUUGAUAAGCCGGUUGUGAAAGCCCCGGGCUCAACCUGGGAACGGCAUCCGGAACUGUCAAGCUAGAGUGCAGGAGAGGAAGGUAGAAUUCCCGGUGUAGCGGUGAAAUGCGUAGAGAUCGGGAGGAAUACCAGUGGCGAAGGCGGCCUUCUGGACUGACACUGACACUGAGGUGCGAAAGCGUGGGUAGCAAACAGGAUUAGAUACCCUUGUAGUC
rnacentral:rRNA from 1 species